GAUUAACGCUGGCGGCGUGCCUAACACAUGCAAGUCGAGCGGCAGCGAGUUUUACACUGACUUCUGGAAGCUUCUAGUUGAAAGAGAAGAUUUAUUCAAGAAUUUUGUGUAAAAUGUCGGCGAGCGGCGGACGGCUGAGUAACGCGUGGGAACGUACCCCAAAGUGAGGGAUAACGCAUCGAAAGGUGUGCUAAUACCGCAUAUGGUCUUCGGAUUAAAGCCUUCGGGCGCUUUGGGAACGGCCUGCGUAAGAUUAGAUAGUUGGUGGGGUAAUGGCCUACCAAGUCGACGAUCUGUAACUGGUUUGAGAGGAUGAUCAGUCAGACUGGAACUGAGACACGGUCCAGACUCCUACGGGAGGCAGCAGUGAGGAAUCUUCCACAAUGGGCGAAAGCCUGAUGGAGCAACGCCGCGUGCAGGAUGAAGGCCUUCGGGUUGUAAACUGCUUUUAUAAGUGAGGAUUAUGACAGUAACUUAUGAAUAAGGAUCGGCUAACUACGUG
rnacentral:rRNA from 1 species